UAGCUGGUCUGAGAGGAUGAUCAGCCAGACUGGAACUGAGACACGGUCCAGACUCCUACGGGAGGCAGCAGUAGGGAAUUUUCCACAAUGGACGAAAGUCUGAUGGAGCAACGCCGCGUGCAGGAUGAAGGCCUUCGGGUCGUAAACUGCUUUUAUGAGUGAAGAUUAUGACAGUAACUCAAGAAUAAGGGACGGCUAACUACGUGCCAGCAGCCGCGGUCAUACGUAGGUCCCAAGCAUUAUCCGGAAUUACUGGGCGUAAAGAGUUGCGUAGGUGGUCUAUUAAGCAGAACAUGAAAGCGUACGGCUCAACCGUAUACACGUAUUCUGAACUGGUAGACUAGAGGGCGAGAGAGGUUAUUGGAAUUUCUUGUGUAGGAGUGAAAUCCGUAGAUAUAAGAAGGAACACCGAUGGCGUAGGCAGAUAACUGGCUCGCACCUGACACUAAGGCACGAAAGCGUGGGGAGCAAACGGGAUUAGAUACCCCGGUAGUCCACGCCGUAAACUAUGGAUGCUAGCUGUUGGUCGUAUCGACCCGAUCAGUAGCGAAGCUAACGCGUUAAGCAUCCCGCCUGUGGAGUACGGUCGCAAGACUAAAACAUAAAGGAAUUGACGGGGACCCGCACAAGCGGUGGAGCGUGUUGUUUAAUUCGAUGAUAAGCGAAGAACCUUACCCAGAUUUGACAUCCUUGGAAAGACUACGAAAGUAGACUGUGUCUUCGGAAGCCAAGUGACAGGUGUUGCAUGGCCGUCGUCAGCUCGUGUCGUGAGAUGUUUGGUU
rnacentral:rRNA from 1 species